GACGAACGCUGGCGGCGUGCUUAACACAUGCAAGUCGAACGGAAAGGCCCUGCUUUGGUGGGGUGCUCGAGUGGCGAACGGGUGGGUAACACGAGAGUAACUUGCCCUUGACUUUGGGAUAACUUCUGGAAACUGGGGAUACUCCCGGUUAGGAGCUCCUGCUGCCUGGCGGGGGUUGGAAAGUUUCGGCGGUUGGGGAUGGACUCGCGGCUUAUCAGCUUGUUGGUCGGGUAGUGGCUUACCAAGGCUUUGACGGGUAGCCGGCCUGAUAGGGUGACCGGCCACAUUGGGACUGAGAUACGGCCCAGACUCCUACGGGAGGCAGCAGUGGGGAAUAUUGCACAAUGGGCGGAAGCCUGAUGUAGCAACGCCGCGUGCGGGAUGACGGCCUUCGGGUUGUAAACCGCUUUCGCCUGUGACGAAGCGUGAGUGACGGUAAUGGGUAAAGAAGCACCGGCUAACUACGUG
rnacentral:rRNA from 1 species